rnacentral:miRNA from 2 species
UAGGACACAUGGUCUACUUC